ensembl:lncRNA
UUUAAAGCAUAAUUUCUUUAAUGUUAAUAUAGUUAUUUUUAGAAUAUUUAAUGUUGAAUUGAGAGGGAAUCCUCAUAGGACAGAUAAUAUUGAUGUUAUUAUAAUACUGGGGACCAUUCUUUGUCUCAUUUAUAUUUGUCACAAAGCCAUUGUGACGUUUUUUCUUUUUUUGAGGGAGGGAUAUUUAUAUUGCAUAUGUAUGUUUCAUAAUAUAUGUUUCCAAUAAUUCCAAUAAUCUCAUUACAUAAUCUCACAAUUAAUUUCCUUUGAGCCUUUAUGAGUUCUAACUACUGGUGGCGAUAUUUCUCAAACCAAUUUGGAUACUUUUUAUCCACCAUCAGAUGGUCCUGGUGAAUGGUUCUGUUUGUGUGAAUGUGUCAUUUUAUUAUAAUGCAAGCAAAUUUUCAGUAUAUCUCACAUUUGUGUGCUUGGGCAUGAUUUGUUGCAAUUGAAAGUUAAUUUUACAUGUGUACUACUGAAUGUAUCUCCCAAAUGACUCACUUUACAUUCAUUAUUCCAUUCACCUCUCAACACAUCAUCUCUCAAAGUGUAAAACAUCAUUAAAACUAUCUUUUUUUAAUGCAUACAGUAUUCCUUAAUUCCCAAAGCUACUGUGCAAGGUAAUGAACAGUCUGUAACCUGUUUGCUGGGCUCAAAAGCUGAGAGUGUGUUGUGACCUCUGUCUGUGUAUUGCUGGUUAGUUUUAAUUUACUUUAAAUGGACCUGAAGUAAGAUUCAUUUUUGCUGUUACUUCAUGUGGUUUACACAAUAACUACUGUACUUGGCUAUAUGCAUUACUGAAUUAAAGAUUUUUAGUAAAAACAAACGACAAAGCCUUUAUGUGGCAAGGACAAAACUCCUAGCCCAGGGGUGGCCAACUUCAUCCCAAAGAGGCACAGUGUAGAUUUCCUCCAACCUUGAUAAAAACUGACCUGCCUGUAGCUUUCUAGUAACCCUUAGACCUUAAUUAGCUUGUUCAGGUGUGUUUGAUUAAAGUUGGAGUGAAACUCUACAGUGGCUCUCCAGGAUUGAAGUCCUAGUCCUGUCCUUGUUCAACCAACCUGUGUUGACAGUCGUGCUGUCCUUGUUAACGUUUCUGCUGCUACAUCAUCUAUUCAGUGGGCCUGGGACAUAAUUUUUAAGGUUGGGUCCCCUCACCCUGGCCCAAUGAGUAUGUAUCACCAUAGAGGACCUUAGUGGACCCCCCUCGUUGAAGGGACAACAUACCCUAUUCAGCUGGUGUAGAAUUAAGUCUGUUUUUGCUUGUGCAAUAUUUGCAUAUGAAGUUCAUUACCACUCAAACCAGAAAGGAAAUUUUUCCUUUUGCUUCACUUGAAGGAAUAACAUUUAAAUGGUAAGCUUUCUAAGUUUUUUUUUUUCUAGCUUCUUGUCUAGUUGCUGCUGCUGUAAUCCUGUGCUUCUCAAAUACAAUGCCACCCAUCAUAUGAUCUCAAAAUAUUUCUCCAAUUAUAUCUAUCACAAUAAGAAAAAAAAACAGUAAAGUAACAAGUACAAAACAUCACAUCCUCUUCGGCAAACUGUGGUUAAGCUUUUCUGGGAAAGCUGUUGUUCUUAUUGGAAGCUGUGUCAUGUUUAAAGCGCUAUUGUAAAUGGCCUAGUAAUGUAGGUGACUUUCAACCCUGUUCUUUCUCCCUGAACGUAUAUAGUGCUCAACAUGUGGGUUCAUUCUUUCUUUUGUUGUUGUUGUUGUUGUUUUUGCUUCAUGUUAAUAUGAUUUUGUUCUUUUGUGGGUUGUGUUUAUGGUGGAGGGCAUCUUCCGACAAAGUGCACAGCUUUUAAACUUGCUGCAAGACCUUUACGCACUGACAUAUCAUAUUUGCUUAUGCACUUGAG